CACUUUUCACAGAAAUAUUGGGGGAGAAAAGCAGACAGAAAUGGCACUGCUUUCGAGGCGUGGCAAUCAAAUCUUUUGAAUAUGUAUGUCUGCACUUUGCAUUUGACCCUCGUUGGAGCAAAUAAAACAAAAACCGUGUCUCUUGUGCUAUAAACAAUAAAGGUGACCCAGAGGUGAGAAGAAGAUCCAGUUCUGAAAACACACUGCUACUACUGGCCUCUGAGCUCAUAAAUAGUCUCUUUUUCUGCUGUGUUCUUCUAACUUUUACUGUUUCCAACUGUAUUCUAGUAUAGUUAUUACAGCUAUUGCCCAGAUUUUUGUAUUUCUUUUGGCCUGCCCAGUUCUUGUUGAAAGAUCAUCCAUCGCACUUUGAUUUUUUUGAGAAGACACUUCAAGCAACUUCCUACUUUGGCAGCUAUGGAAGUUGGUAGUUGAUUUUAUUUUUCUUAUACGCUACAAAAUCGUUUCUUAUGUUUCAUUUUUCCUUUGUCUCUUUGUUUUUUUUCCAUGCAACUCUCCGGUUGAGGGUUCAUUUCCCAUCCAAACCUCCCGUGUUGUUUCAAUGCUCCAUUUUCUUCUUUUCAGAUCCUUUUAUCAAUAUUUUAAUGGAUUCACUAUGAAAGAAGGCCUUUGCAUUGCUGCUGACUCCAUCAGAAUCUCAGAAGUCUUCCUGGAUCAGAAGGGGACCCAAUUAGAACCUGGAAGGCCCGCUACUCAUAGGCAGGAGGCCAGAAGACUUGCCCUAGUGCCGAAAUGUUGUUCUGUUAAUGUGUAUCUCAUGCCCAGUAUUUCUUAUUAAUAAGGCACUAAAUAAGGGACAAUCCAGCGUUUCCAUUGCCAAAAGAACACAUCUCCCUUUUAAUUAAUCAAUGUAAAUGGCCUUUUACUGGAAAAUAGAAGUAAAGUAUUCCUAGAACAUAGGAUAUAAUGUUACAUUGGGGAAUAUCAUGCCCUCUUUUUAUUUUAAAGUGGAGAUUUUUUUUUUUAAUGUAGAGACACUAGGUCUGGACCACCUGAGAGAGAGUUCAUUCACAAAUUAUUGCUGAACAUUUGCUACUUGGGUAAACUCAGGACUUUUGUUUCCCAGUUCAUUUUUGCUACAACUCAUUUGCAUUCAAUCCAGUGGGAGUUCAGAUCAGGAAAAUUAUCUGGAUGGAGCAAUUUAUAAAAUAAAAAAUAACUUAUAUUCAAAAUCCACUUCUUCCCAUUUCUAUGUAUCUUUCCCUCAAGGACCAGUGCAAU
rnacentral:lncRNA from 1 species